GACCCAGUGACAAGGAACCAAUACUUACUCCCAACAGCUUCCUGCCGGCACCGAGGACAGAGGUGUGAAAGACUUAAUAAGGCCUGCAAACUUGCCUGCCCUCCGGAGGAGGUGACCCACAAGAAGAAGGAAUCGACUAUCUGAAGUCACAGCUUGUGGUGUCUGAGGAGGAUGCCCGACUCUCAGCCUCAUUCUCACAAGCCCGACGUGCACUCAGGGAGCAGUAAAAGCAAACGACGCGCAGAGGCGCUGCCCUUCAGGACCCUUUGUGGAGCCUGGAUUUGGAAGCCAAGCGGACAGCAUCAGACUCGGCAGUUUGCUGGCAUCUCAGCCCAUGACUCAUUGCCUCUCACAUGGGCUUCCUUAAGGAUCUCUAAUUUGGGAGUGGAGC
rnacentral:lncRNA from 1 species